UUGAGCAUCCUUUCCUCACUCUCACAGACGCCACAAUGGAGUCCUCUCCCUCCUCUUUUCCACAGCAGCCACCAUGGCCCUGACAGUCACCCAGACUCAGCAGGAAACGUCUGUGCAGGAGGCACAGUCUGCAGCCCUGGACUGCACCUACGACACGACGGACAAUAAUUACUACCUGUACUGGUACAGACAGCAAGGAGGGCAGAUGACUCUCAUCCUUCUGCAAGAAGCUUACAGGCAGCAGAACGCAAGGCAGGACCGCUUCUCUGUGAACUUCCAGAAAGCAGCUAAGUCCUUCAGCCUCGAGAUCUCAGAUGUGCAGCUGGGGGAUGCCGGGACAUAUUUCUGUGCACUCAUGGAGAGCCACAGUGACAGAGGCAACAGAGAGGGGCUAACAGAAACCUCAGCGCUCGGCAUCUGGGCAAAAUGGCAGGAAGUGGCUGAGGUACCAGUGGCAUACAGAGGAAGACUUUCUUUUCUCUGGAGGAAAAAGUGCUCAUAUGCAACUGUAGAAAACACAGAAUUCUAUAAACUGCAAUUCUCAAAGCAAUAAUAAAAUGCAAGGAAUGAAUAAAGCUCUAUAGUUUUGCAAAGUGUGUUCACAUGUGUUAUGUCACAGACUGUCAAAACUCACCUGCCUCGGACAAAUAAGACAUUUUCAGCAUCACUGAGAUCCAGCAGACCCCAGAGUUUGACCUAAGCUAUUUUGUCCAUGUCUUUCAAUUUGUUAAUUAUUCUAA